GAUCAUCUUGUUCUAUACCCCACUAUUUUUGCUAGUUUGACAUAUGUUAGCUCUGUGAAUCUCUGAAAACAUAGAAGUCCAAUUUGUUUUUAUACAUACAGAGUCUCUUUGUGCUAGUUUGGCAUUGCCGUGCACCAGCCUUGCUCAAAAUACAACCUGGAGAAACUAGCUUCUUGUUGAAGCUGCAAGUUAAUGCCCUUGAGUUUGUCCACCUCAAAGCCAAACUGGGCCAAGUAGCUGGUUUUGAUGCGAUUUGUCUACAUUCAAUACUAUCUUGAUGUGUUCUGCUUUUAACUCUCCUAUUAAUUAUUGAGAAUAUUUUUCCCUGGCAAUCUGUGAAGAUAUAAAUUAGUAACUUAUGGUUCUCAAACAUGCAUUCUAUCUUCUUCCUAGCAAUAACAGAAACUAUACAUGCAAAUUGGAAUUCACUUAUUAUUCUCUGCUUGAGUCGGCGAUGGUUGGUGCAGUGAUUUGUUUCCCAUUCGUGUGCUCCUUUUAAAAUUUAACCUGCCGUGCCUCAAUGGUAACUUUUCAAGUUAGUCUGAAAUGUGGAUUGUUAGUCAGAUUAGAAUAUGGCAUGUCAUAACAGAAUUUGAUUUCUUAUGACUGAAUCUCUAUCAGGCAUUUGUAUAUUAUUAAGUGUGACUAUCAUGUCUUGAUGUGUGGGCGGGUAUUUUGCAGUUUAGGCAAGCCAAGGCAGAGAUCGUAUCAGCUAGCAAAGUGGCAUAUCGUUUCCUUGUAGGUGUUGCUUCUAGUAAUGGGCCUGCACAUGAUUCACCUGGCAAUUCAAACAGAGGAAGCCCUAGAAUUCAAGCAACUUGGUUUAAAAACCUAAUUACUUCGGGUGCCAAACCAUCUAGUAGCACAGAAGUAGACAAUCAGGAAGAAGUGCAUCUUCGGCAGCAACAUGAGCAAGUGUCAGAUUUACCACCGCGGCAGAAUUCACAACAAUUGUCAGAUUUACCAC
rnacentral:lncRNA from 1 species